GUCAUAUGCAAUCGAUCACUUUACAACAAAGAAAUUAGGGAUUUUGAUUGCAACUGUUCGUCAUAUAUUUUGCUCUCUGGAAACGGUAUAAGCAGAAAGUAUUUGAGAUGACCCCAAACUCAUUCAAAAGAAGUCCUAUUUAUUUAUACUGGGACAAAUUGCCCAUUGAAAAGGUGGAAUUUCGGUUGAAAAACCAAAUAUGAUGAUACAGUAUUCAUUUUCCGUGGAACAGGGACGAAUUCUACAUCAUGGUUCCAGAAAGAAAAACUCAGUGUGGAUCCGACUGACAUUUGGGUCCCACAAACUGUGACUUUCAAUGCGAAUUUCAAUUACCCGGAGUUUACCAUCGAGUAUGAUGGCUGGAAGUAUGAAGCCAAAGGAAAAGGUGGAAAUAAUGAAACCUACGAUAUUUCUGAAAAAUCGUCGUCCGGUUGUAAGUAAA